rnacentral:rRNA from 1 species
GAUGAACGCUGGCGGCGUGCCUAAUACAUGCAAGUCGAGCGAACGGACGAGAAGCUUGCUUCUCUGAUUUUGGCGGCGGACGGGUGAGUAACACGUGGAUAACCUACCUAUAAGACUGGGAUAACUUCGGGAAACCGGAGCUAAUACCGGAUAAUAUUUUGAACCGCAUGGUUCAAAAGUGAAAGACGGUCUUGCUGUCACUUAUAGAUGGAUCCGCGCUGCAUUAGCUAGUUGGUAAGGUAACGGCUUACCAAGGCAACGAUGCAUAGCCGACCUGAGAGGGUGAUCGGCCACACUGGAACUGAGACACGGUCCAGACUCCUACGGGAGGCAGCAGUAGGGAAUCUUCCGCAAUGGGCGAAAGCCUGACGGAGCAACGCCGCGUGAGUGAUGAAGGUCUUCGGAUCGUAAAACUCUGUUAUUAGGGAAGAACAUAUGUGUAAGUAACUGUGCACAUCUUGACGGUACCUAAUCAGAAAGCCACGGCUAACUACGUG